rnacentral:rRNA from 1 species
AUUGAACGCUGGCGGCAGGCCUAACACAUGCAAGUCGAGCGGAUGAAGGGAGCUUGCUCCUGGAUUCAGCGGCGGACGGGUGAGUAAUGCCUAGGAAUCUGCCUGGUAGUGGGGGAUAACGUCCAGAAACGGGCGCUAAUACCGCAUACGUCCUGAGGGAGAAAGUGGGGGAUCUUCGGACCUCACGCUAUCAGAUGAGCCUAGGUCGGAUUAGCUAGUUGGUGGGGUAAAGGCCUACCAAGGCGACGAUCCGUAACUGGUCUGAGAGGAUGAUCAGUCACACUGGAACUGAGACACGGUCCAGACUCCUACGGGAGGCAGCAGUGGGGAAUAUUGGACAAUGGGCGAAAGCCUGAUCCAGCCAUGCCGCGUGUGUGAAGAAGGUCUUCGGACUGUAAAGCACUUUAAGUUGGGAGGAAGGGCAGUAAGUUAAUACCUUGCUGUUUUGACGUUACCAACAGAAUAAGCACCGGCUAACUUCGUG